UGGGGAAUUUUGGACAAUGGGCGAAAGCCUGAUCCAGCAAUGCCGCGUGUGUGAAGAAGGCCUUCGGGUUGUAAAGCACUUUUGUCCGGAAAGAAAUCCUUGGCUCUAAUACAGUCGGGGGAUGACGGUACCGGAAGAAUAAGCACCGGCUAACUACGUGCCAGCAGCCGCGGUAAUACGUAGGGUGCAAGCGUUAAUCGGAAUUACUGGGCGUAAAGCGUGCGCAGGCGGUUUGCUAAGACCGAUGUGAAAUCCCCGGGCUCAACCUGGGAACUGCAUUGGUGACUGGCAGGCUAGAGUAUGGCAGAGGGGGGUAGAAUUCCACGUGUAGCAGUGAAAUGCGUAGAGAUGUGGAGGAAUACCGAUGGCGAAGGCAGCCCCCUGGGCCAAUACUGACGCUCAUGCACGAAAGCGUGGGGAGCAAACAGGAUUAGAUACCCUGGUAGUCCACGCCCUAAAACGAUGUCAACUAGUUGUUGGGGAUUCAUUUCCUUAGUAACGUAGCUAACGCGUGAAGUUGACCGCCUGGGGAGUACGGUCGCAAGAUUAAAACUCAUGAA
rnacentral:rRNA from 1 species